rnacentral:rRNA from 1 species
CCUACGGGAGGCAGCAGUGGGGAAUAUUGGACAAUGGGCGGAAGCCUGAUCCAGCAACGCCGCGUGAGGGAUGACGGCCUUCGGGUUGUAAACCUCUUUCAGCACAGACGAAGCGCAAGUGACGGUAUGUGCAGAAGAAGGACCGGCCAACUACGUGCCAGCAGCCGCGGUAAUACGUAGGGUCCGAGCGUUGUCCGGAAUUAUUGGGCGUAAAGGGCUCGUAGGCGGUUUGUCGCGUCGGGAGUGAAAACACCGGGCUUAACUCGGUGCUUGCUUUCGAUACGGGCAGACUAGAGGCAUUCAGGGGAGAACGGAAUUCCUGGUGUAGCGGUGAAAUGCGCAGAUAUCAGGAGGAACACCGGUGGCGAAGGCGGUUCUCUGGGAAUGUCCUGACGCUGAGGAGCGAAAGUGUGGGGAGCGAACAGGAUUAGAUACCCUGGUAGUCCACACCGUAAACGUUGGGCGCUAGGUGUGGGAUCCAUUCCACGGGUUCCGUGCCGCAGCUAACGCAUUAAGCGCCCCGCCUGGGGAGUACGGCCGCAAGGCUAAAACUCAAAUGAAUUGACGG